UACAGAGGGGGCAAGCGUUAUUCGGAAUUAUUGGGCGUAAAGGGCGCGUAGGCGGCUUUGCAAGUGGCGGGUGAAAUCCCUCGGCUUAACCGAGGAACUGCCUGCCAGACUGUGAGGCUGGAGUGAGGUAGGGGUGUGUGGAACUUCCAGUGGAGCGGUGAAAUGUGUUGAUAUUGGAAGGAACGCCGGUGGCGAAAGCGACACACUGGACCUUGUCUGACGCUGAGGCACGAAAGCCAGGGGAGCAAACGGG
rnacentral:rRNA from 1 species